UGCAAGCGAUGUAGAUCAGUUGGUACGGCAUAAGACUCUUAAUAUCAGGGUUGUGGGUUCGAGUCCCAUGCUGGGCAA